GGCUCAGGACGAACGCUGGCGGCGUGCCUUAAACAUGCAAGUCGAGCGGGGGAGCAAUCCCCAGCGGCAGACGGCUGAGUAACACGUGAGUGACCUGCCCAGAGGUGGGGGAUAGCCCCUCGAAAGAGGGGGUAAUACCGCGUAAGCUGGUUGGGAUAGAGACCAAUCAGGAAAGCAGCAAUGCGCCUUUGGAGGGACUCGCGUCCCAUCAGGUAGUUGGUGAGGUAACGGCCCACCAAGCCGAUGACGGGUAGCUGGUCUGAGAGGAUGAUCAGCCAGACUGGGACUGAGAGACGGCCCAGACUCCUACGGGGGGCAGCAGUUGGGAAUCUUGCACAAUGGGGGAAACCCUGAUGCAGCGACGCCGCGUGGGGGACGAAGGUCUUCGGAUCGUAAACCCCUUUUGUCGGGGAAGAUGAUGACGGUACCCGACGAAUAAGCCCCGGCUAACUACGUGCCAGCAGCCGCGGUAAUACGUAGGGGGCGAGCGUUGUCCGGAUUUACUGGGCGUAAAGAGCGCGUAGGCGGUUCGCUAAGUUGGCUGUGAAAUCUCCUGGCCUAACUGGGAGGGGUCAGCCGAGACUGGCGAACUCGAGGGCGGUAGAGGAAGGUGGAACUCCGGGUGUAGUGGUGAAAUGCGUAGAUAUCCGGAAGAACACCGGUGGCGAAGGCGGCCUUCUGGGCCGUACCUGACGCUGAGGCGCGAAAGCGUGGGGAGCGAACUGAAUUAGAUACUCAGGUAGUCCACGCCCUAAACGAUGGACGCUAGGUGUCGGGGGUAUCGACCCCUCCGGUGCCGAAGCUAACGCAUUAAGCGUCCCGCCUGGGGAGUACGGCCG
rnacentral:rRNA from 1 species